rnacentral:rRNA from 1 species
UACCCGCAGCACAAGUGGUGGUCAUUAUUAUUGGGCCUAAAGCGUCCGUAGCUGGCUUGUUAGAUGCCUGGGUAAAUCGAUGCGCUCAACGUAUCGAAUUCCGGGUAGACCGGCAAGCUCGAGACCGGGAGAGGCGUGAGCUACUCGAGGGGUAGGGGUAAAAUCCUGUAAUCCUUCGGGGAGGACCAGUGGCGAAGGCGUCACGCUAGAACGGCUCUGACAGUGAGGGACGAAGCCCUGGGGCGCAAACCGG